UAUAAUUAGGAACAAUUUCAGAAAGACGAUUUAUAAUUUAUUUUUGAAAUUUGGAAUAAUUGUAUGAAAAUAGGCAAGUUAAUAUAGACUUUUGGGGAAACCAAUCCAAGUAGUAAAAUAAUAAAGAAAACGCCAAUUGGGGGUUGAACUAAAUUUAUAAAUAUUAAUUUAACGUUUGUGCAAAUUAAAAAUUGGGUAAUUAAAUUACGGGGUACGGGAAAUUUAUUUGAAAAUUCGGCCUAAAAUAAAUUUAACUGGAAUCUACGGAUGUCGAAAACGUUAAAAAAUAACAAAUUGCUAUUUAGCCGAAAUGGAAUUAAUUUAGAAGAAAACCCCAAAAAUAUUUAAAUAUAAUAGGAAAACUUUUAUAAUAUUCGAAACAAAAUAUAAACAAUUAAACAAACUUUUUAUACCUAAAUAUUUUGUUGGGUAUUUCCGUUUCUAAUUCCCUAUAAAAUUUUGUUUUCUAUAAUAAUAGCGUUAUUAAAAUUAUUACUAAUUGUAACCGUAAAAACGUUGGGAUUCGUUUUACAAUUGUUUUUAUAUAUAAAACGGUAAAUUAGCAAAUUGUAAUAAUAUAAUUAAAGGGACGACGUUCCGAUAAUAAUAGAAAUUUUAAAUUGUGGUUUAAAAAGUAUUCUUUUCGUAAACGACGUUUAAAAAUAUAUGUUCGGUAAUAGCGCGCCAACGUUCGAAAUUUUGAAAAAAACGUUGGUUAAUUUUAAAAAAUAUAAAAAAACACGUUCGGGACAAAAGUUUAUAAUAAUUGUGGUAAUCGGGAUUUUAAAAGGUAAAACGUCAUUUGUGCAUUUGCGAGCCGUUACGUUAAUGGUGCUGGUAUUAUUAUUGCGGCCGGUUAUUCCCUCGUUUUUGGUUAAAUAUUUAUUAUUUUAAAAAUCGUAGGCGCGCAAAAAUAAUAUUGCAGGUUUAAAAAUAAUAAUCGGAUUAAAAAACGUUAAGAAAUUGUGCCAAAGAAAACUCCAAAGAAAUUAUUAUAAAAGUAUUUUAUAUUGAUUUGCACGAAUACCCCUAUUUGCAUUUCGUGCACCGUCCCAAAAACGGAUUUAUAUAUUAAUAAAUAUUAUAACAACCGACUACAAUUUAUUUAUUUAUUAAACAAAAUUCAAAUUGUCGGAAUGGGGAAGGGGCCGAGGACCGAUAACGCGGGGAACUUUUUUAACCAUUUAAAAACUAUUAACGGGGCGAAAGAAAACUUAAAAAAACUAGAAAAAGCUAUUUUUGUUAAAUAUAAGGGCGAAAAGUUAUUAAUAAUAAGUAAAAGUAAUCGGAAAAACAAAAGCGAUAAAAAAUAAACGGUAGGAAAACAAGAAUAAUCAUAUUCGGCGUUUGAUUUUAAAUAUUAAUAAUAAUAAAAUAUAAAUAAUUUAAUACCACAAACUAUCGUCGAACCAAUAACAAAAGAAACCUUUUUUACUAAAAGGAUAAUUACCAAAAAAUGUGCAAUUAUUAAAAUAGCCAUUGCGGUCGUCGGAUAAUAAAUUAAAUAAAUAAUAAAACCGUUAUACGAAAUUAUUUAAUAUUAUUAUUUUCGGAAACGGGCUUUAAUUUGACUAAUAAUUAUAAUAAAAGUCCAAUGGCCGGUUCCGGAAAAUAUAAAAAACUUGGUUAAAACGUUAAAACAGCGAUUACAAAAUCUUAUAAAAAUUGUAAAAUCGAUACCACCGUUUGCAGAUUUCUAAUUAAUUAUAAAUAACAAAUUCGAGGAUUUUUAAACGCGAAAAAGUAAAGAAUUGCCGCUAUCGCAAAAAUAAGAUUGCGGAGAAUUUAUUAAUUGAAUCGAUAAUUUACGUGCGGUACCCUACAGGAUCCGCACAUAAUUAAUCCAGUCCUCGACCACUGGUUGAGAAGGGAAAAAAACAAUUAAAAGCUGUAACGUAAAUAAAACAGUCGUUAAACAAAAGUAUAUGACCUUUUAACUUAUAACAGCGUUUUGGAAAUCGAUCGAUUUGCGAGAGGCCUAUUAAUAUAAAAGUUAUUAAAUUUAUAAUUAAUUUCGACGUUUAAGAAAGUUGCGUUAAUUCGAGCGUUACAAAUGUUUUAUAUAAAAGAAAUCAAAUUCCCAACGAGAAAUAAAGAGAUUUUAACAACAAUUCUAAUUUCUCAUUCAAAAAAACGCCAAUUUCGCAGGAUUAAAGGAAAAGAGUAAAUUAAAAAUCCCAUUCUUUUUAUUGUCGAAUUUCAUUUAGUGCAAAACAGCGAAAUAAUUGUUUAUUAUAAAUAUAAAAAUGAUUUUUAAUAAUAAAUUAAUAUUUUGUGUAAAACAACGCAAUUUUCUUUAUAACUUUUCAAUUUUUUCGAUUGCGUUUCGAAACAAUUAUAAUAUUUAUAUUUUGGGAUUUGUAAACCCCGAACGUUUUAUUUAGCGUUGAAAGAAAAACCACAGAUUAUUGUAUCAAAUUAUAAUUUAAUAUAAAAGUUUAACUUAAAAUAACCAAUGUAAUUUUAUCUUAUUUAUAUAAAAUAAUAUGUGAAUUGAUUUCUAGAUUAAAAAACAAUUUGAAUAAAUCUUUCUUUAUAUUAUGGGCUAUAACCUUUUAUAUAAUUUAAAUACUAAUAUAAAUAAUAUUUAUUUAUAGCAUUUAUAUUAUAAUAUUUUAUAUAAAUUAAUUAUCAAGUUAUUUAACUACUUUUACCUUUGUUUUCCGCCUUUAUUAUACUAUUUUCCCACGUAAAUAAAUUACUUAUAUCCCAACCUUUUAAUAAUAUUAAUCUCCAAUAAUAUUUUUUAUUAAUGGCGGUAGAAAAAAAACCCUUUAUUGCAACCGAAAUAGCUGGAAAGUUUAAAUAUUCUCACGCUAAUAAACUUAAUAUAGGAAACCAGUCUUUAUUAUUUCUCCAAAAUAAUAAUAUAUUUUCUUUUUUAUAUAAAUCCUUAUAAAAAUAUAUAAAAUAUUCGUUGUUUUUAAUAUGCUUUUCACCUUUAAAUAAUUCGAAAUACAAGUUGCUAUUACUAUUAGUUAUUAUUAUUAUUAAUACUAUUAUCUAAUAUUUUUCUAAAUAUUUUUAACAAUUAACUUCAAUAUAUAUAUAAUAUACCAAAUGUUAUAAAAAUUACCAAAUGGUUCUUUUUAUAAAUACUAUUAAUUAAAAUAUUAUUAUUAUAGAAUUAACGCGGCUAAUGUUUAAUAUUUUAUUACAAAUAUAAGGAGCCUUUUUGAUUAUACUAGUAAAUUUACCAUAUAAAUUUUCUCUCGAAUAAAUUAUAUUACUAAUUUUCUAAAAUCCAAUUAAUUUGUAUAUUUAAUUAUAAUUAUUAAAAAGAAUUGGCUUUUUAUUAUUUUGAAAGUUAAAAUAUCAGAUAUUAUACUAAAUAAACCAUUGUCUUUCCGUAUUAAAUUUCAAAUUACUCUCAAAUUUUACAUAAUAUUAGUUAAAUAAAUUAUUAAAAACUAAUUUUACUUUAUACGUACUUUUAACAAGGUAAAUAUUAUUGAAAUAAAAUAAUAGCUUUUAAAUAAAUUCGAAUAUAAAAUAUUUAAUUAACAAACUAUUAUUAAUUAUAAACCAUAAUAUUCUUGUACAAAUUUUAAAUUCGUUAAAUUCGAGUAUAAUAAUAUUUUACCGUUAUCUUUUACAUAUAUUCUUGCUAUUAUUAUUAUUUAAUAAUAUAUUAUAUUUUCGUGUUAUCUUGCUUUUUUUAUUAUAAAUAAUAUUAGGUUGUUGUAAUUUAUA
rnacentral:sRNA from 1 species